ACGCCAACACCAACGAGGAGGCUACCACGGGAGUGAAGGAGGUGCAGGGACAGGCCAUGCGGCGACCCGAGACCAGACUGCCAAAAGAAAAGACGCCCCAGGACCCAGUAACAUGCCCAGUGAGUGAAACCAAAGCCUGCAUCUCAUGCUAAAACAUCUAUGUCAUUUCUACAGUUCCACUGCCUGAUUAACAUGGCAAACUUGCAGAAUAUUGCUUAUUGCUCGAGAAGACAACCGUUCAUGCUUUCCAAGGAGCAAAGGAGGCUUCAUUGUGUGGUACACGCCCAGACACCAGGCUUCUCCUACACCAUGUGAUUUAACC